rnacentral:misc_RNA from 1 species
GGCCUUGAUCGAGAUGAUGAGGUAACAGUUGGAUUCUCUCCCCCACCCCUUUUCUCUCUCUCUCUCUUGUUUUUUCUGUCUCUCAGAGUGGGUGUGAAUGAUGUGUUUUUCCGUGUAGAAAUUAGGAUUGGUAAGAUGUGAAGAAGUAUGAAUAGAUCAUAAUGGAAGUUUUUAGAUAUCUGUUGAUAAUUUGAUGUCAAAUUAGAUGCUAACUGUUUUGUUUGAUAUCAAUUUG